rnacentral:ncRNA from 2 species
UAUAAUCUCUCUUGCGCAGGUGAACGGGAAGUCCGGUGAAAGUCCGGCGCUGUCCCCGCAACCGUGAGCAGGGAACAAAUAAUGGGCUUUAACCACUGGAGAGUGUGGGUGGAAAGCUCCCUCUCUGGGAAGGUUAAAGCCUAUUUAACCCUGCGAGCCGGGAGACCGGCCUGCGCUGAGAUUCUUUU